rnacentral:rRNA from 1 species
AACUGACGCUGGCGGCAUGCCUACACAUGCAAGUCGAACGGGUACAGGUCUUCGGAUGCUGACGAGUGGCGAACGUGAGUAAUACAUCGGAACGUGCCCGAGAGUGGGGGAUAACGAAGCGAAAGCUUUGCUAAUACCGCAUACGAUCUCAGGAUGAAAGCAGGGGACCGCAAGGCCUUGCGCUCACGGAGCGGCCGAUGGCAGAUUAGGUAGUUGGUGGGAUAAAAGCUUACCAAGCCGACGAUCUGUAGCUGGUCUGAGAGGACGACCAGCCACACUGGGACUGAGACACGGCCCAGACUCCUACGGGAGGCAGCAGUGGGGAAUUUUGGACAAUGGGCGCAAGCCUGAUCCAGCCAUGCCGCGUGCAGGAUGAAGGCCUUCGGGUUGUAAACUGCUUUUGUACGGAACGAAAAGACUCUGGUUAAUACCUGGGGUCCAUGACGGUACCGUAAAGAAUAAGCACCGGCUAACUACGUGCCAGCAGCCGCGGUAAUACGUAGGGUGCAGACCGGUUAUCCGAAUACUGGGCGUAAGCGUGCCCAGCGGUUUGUUAAAAAAAUGUGAAUCCCCCGGGCUCACCUGGGAACUGGAUUUUGUACUGAUAGCAAAAGUACGAGAGGGGAUGGAAUCCGGUUAGCAUGAAUGCGUAAUUGCAAAGAAACCGAGU